UCUCUAGCUGCUCUUCACCUCCAUGCAGUGCACAGGUUAAGUGACAUCUGCCCUUAAUCUGUGGCUAUAAAACUUGGUCCAGGGAAGUUUUCCUCCCUAUCCUCAAGCUCCAGCCAGAUUGCAGCGUGUGUGAGUGUGGUAGGUCUUCUGUCCGCACCAGUGUUCACCUCUCCCCUGCCCAAGUUUGCCCAGUCCCAGGGUCUAGUAUGCCAUCCCUCUGUCAGUGGUGACCACGCCCACUGACUGCCUACCUCGCCGUGGCCAAGACGUCUCAAGGAGUGACCAGCCCGCAUGACCCUCGUUCCACGUUCUUCUAAGAACACCUAGACGAGGUGGUAUUUGAAGAAGUCUACUCCAACGCCUGCUCCUCAAGUGGAUGAAGCCAUCUAACUGGGUAUUGAAUAGAGGGAUCUAGAACCACUUCACUGCAACAAAG